GCGCCAGUGUUGUAGGGGUAUCAUGCAAGAUUCCCAUUCUUGCGACCCGGGUUCGAUUCCGCUGGCGCA
rnacentral:tRNA from 1 species